ensembl:lncRNA
AGUAGGCCAACUGUGCUGAUGUUAUUCUUGUUACAGCCUAGAAGAGCAUGUCUCCAGAUAUUUUCACCCUGAGAAGGUGACUCGUGGUCCUACAGCAGCAGAAGGGGCAAGGAAUGCCCCAGCAUUUCCCUGGAGAAGCGGGUUGGACCCACUGAGCAAGUCCCGCUGUAGGCACUGCCUCUCCUCACUGCAGACAAAGAAGGGAAGGCAUUCACUUGCUCCUGCCUGAAAGCUGCCUUCAGCUAUUCGUGAAACCAUAGAUACAUCUGCUUGGACCGUCCAAUCCCCGGUGCUUCCCCCGGAGGGGGAAUAUCCAGACAUUGUCAUUUCAGCACAAGAAGCUGGAUGCAUUUAUUAAUCAACCUUUUUGCUGAGUGGAAGUCUGGCUGCUCUCUCCUACCAUAGUCUAAAUCCCUCAGUCUGCUUCUAUUACAAGACUUACACAAAAGAACAUUUUCUUCCACUCUUUCUUACAGAAAUGGGAAGACCUGAAUGCUUUCCUUUUUCUCUUCCCUGGGUCUUCUUUUGACUGACUGGGAUUUUUCACGGCUGUAUCAGAAAGUUGGACAUCCCCCUUUGUUUCGGAAGCAUUUGGUGAUGGAUCACAUUUUAAUUGGCGUUGAGGUUUACAGAAAAAGGGAGCACCACAGGAAGUUAUUAGAAUAACAACACUACGCAUCUGCACAGGAAUUAAAACUGCAAAUGUAGGGGGCAUAUUAAUUGCUACCAAAUGCUUUGUUUUUCUCCUCCUCGAAAAGCCCAGCUCAACAAAAGCCUUAUUAUUAUUAUUAUUAUUAGUGUGUAUUUUUCCUGUCUUUCUGUCCCAGUAAAAUGUAAGUGAUUAGAUUUGUGGGAUUUUAGCCUCAUGUAUAAGAUUUCCUAUAUAGCAUGGUUCAGAACAUUUACAAAGGAGAUGAACACAUUUGUUCUGACAAGGAGGAUACUGAUGGCUGCAGACAGAUACAGCUCAUCCAACACUGUUGUUCCCACAGUGAGAGUCUGAGCAUGGCCUGUGCUAGUUUGUGCCAAAGAUGGUCAAAAUGUUUUGCCUGUGCUCUUUGAUUUUUCCCCAUGAAAUCACUGAUAUGUUGUCACAGAGCCAUAAUUCAAGUUGCUGUUGAAAUGAGAAGUAAUACAGAGAUUGUUAGGAGUUUAAGUUGUUAUUCCCUACACGACAAUUUUUUGUUUUUAAAUAAGGGGUAGGAAACAAAGCAAAUAUUGCCCAUAGAUCUCCAUAAACAAUUUCAGCUGAUUGAAACACUGUUUUUUUUUUUUUUUUUUUUUUUCCUGUUCAAGAAAGGAGAAUGUUGGAAAGAUUUUGCACAGCUAACUGCACAGAUUUCCUUCUUUUUAUUUUUUAAGUCAUUCUAACACAUGACUCUUUUCCACAUUGAUCAUACUUUGUAAAUUCCCCCUAAUGCUAUUUUCUAACCACAGUGCUCCUUCACCAAUAACUGUAAAAGGACAUCCCUAGAACAAUGGAUAGCUUUUCUAGCACCUAUCCUAAUACCUAUUCUAAUAGGAAAAAAACAAGCAUUAAAGAAGUGUUAGGUU